rnacentral:rRNA from 1 species
CAGUCGCCGCGGGAAUACGUAGGGUGCGAGCGUUAAUCGGAAUUACUGGGCGUAAAGCGUGCGCAGGCGGUGAUGUAAGACAGAUGUGAAAUCCCCGGGCUCAACCUGGGAACUGCAUUAGUGACUGCAUCGCUGGAGUGCGGCAGAGGGGGAUGGAAUUCCGCGUGUAGCAGUGAAAUGCGUAGAUAUGCGGAGGAACACCGAUGGCGAAGGCAAUCCCCUGGGCCUGCACUGACGCUCAUGCACGAAAGCGUGGGGAGCAAACAGGAUUAGAUACCCGCGUAGUCCCUGUCUCUUAUAC